ACUCCUACGGGAGGCAGCAGUGGGGAAUAUUGGACAAUGGGCGAAAGCCUGAUCCAGCAAUGCCGCGUGUGUGAAGAAGGCCUGCGGGUUGUAAAGCACUUUCAGUGGGGAAGAAAAGCCUGGGGCUAAUACCUCCGGGUCUUGACGUUAUCCACAGAAGAAGCACCGGCUAACUCCGUGCCAGCAGCCGCGGUAAUACGGAGGGUGCGAGCGUUAAUCGGAAUUACUGGGCGUAAAGCGUGCGCAGGCGGUCAGGUCAGUCGGAUGUGAAAGCCCCGGGCUUAACCUGGGAACUGCAUUCGAUACUGCCUGACUAGAGUGCGGGAGAGGGAAGUGGAAUUUCCGGUGUAGCGGUGAAAUGCGUAGAUAUCGGAAGGAACACCAGUGGCGAAGGCGACUUCCUGGCCCAGCACUGACGCUCAGGCACGAAAGCGUGGGGAGCAAACAGGAUUAGAUACCCCGGUAGUCC
rnacentral:rRNA from 1 species